CGGGGAACUUUGUGUGAGAUGAGCAACACCGAGCUGCGGCUGAGGAGCCGGCUGUUAGUAGUGAACAGAAUGAAUAACUGCUCCGGCCAGGAAUGUCCCGUGUAACCAGAUGUCAGAAAUAAAGAGGACAAAAAGCAGCAUUCCCAGUGAAAAGAUAUCUUCAUACACUGCCCUUGCCAUCAAUGGAUCAAAGAUUAAAAGAUCUUUAGCAGUGGAGGCUGAAAGAGGCUUGGCUGAGUGACAACAGAAAGGAUACCUGAAAGUGCAAUUUGGAAAGUGCAGGAAGGAUAUUGCAACGUUCUCACGUGUGUCCUGUACUCGUUUUCCUGCAGAGUGUUGGAAAUCUGUUUCAAAAUCUGUCACUUUGGCUGACCUUUGGGAAGCCUCCAUUGAUGUGUUCUGAUAGAGAAGAACAGCACUUUCUUACCUGACCGUGUAGGCUCGAAGAUAAUGCAAAGUGGUCCCAGUCACCCCUUUACUUUAGAAGAUGAUAAGAAACAGGAGUUGAAAUGGACAGAGAAGGCUGGCUAUACAAGAAAGCAAAGUUGGAUGGAGUGAUAAACAAUUGGAUCUGCACAGUUGGCAGCCAUCCUGGCAAAGAAGCCUGAAAGUGUCUGUGUAUAAAUAAGUGUAUGCAUGAUUCAGUGAAUGUGCAGUUAUUUUAAAUCUGCAUAAGUUCCCCUAAAUGUCUUCAAAUGAUUUUUGGUUUCUGGAGGUUGGGGAGGAUUGCAUUACUUAAUACAGGCCUCAGAGCAUGGAGCCAAAAAGCCAUUUUUGGUACAAAUCCAAAAUGGUUUCAAUAUGUGGUACUUCAAAUCUCUAUUCCAUGUUUUUUUAAUAUGUUUUUUUCUCCCCACCACCCAUAUAUCACAGGAUAAGUGCUCUUCUCCUGUAUAUUAGGGGACUUGGAGGGAGAUAUUUGCCAAGCUGGAAUUCAUCUUGACAAGUUUCAGUAAAUAAACAUUUCUUACUUUUCCAUUUUAGAGUUUGCUUUGAUUCAUCCUCUGGGGUGGCUUUUUCUUCCCACUCAACAUUGCUAAGAAAUUAUAUAGAAUUUUUCCUUUUAUCCACUUCUCUCAUCAUUACUUUCUUUCAGCAGAAUGACUCACUGCUGUUCUGGAUUCCCCAUGCAUGUCAUCACAACUCUGGGAACAAACUUGCUCUAACGUUAGCCUGACAUCAUCUUUAUUACGCUUUUACUCUCACUGACAUUAAACAUGAUGAGCCAAAGGAGACUAACUGUGUCUUGUCAUUUUAGCAACACUCAGGCAUUAUAUUUAGCAUACUUUCUACCAUGUUUCUCCUUUGACACCAUUCCUCUGCUGGGAAGACAGUACCGUAAGCCAGCUCUGUAGGUGUAGGCUUUUUUAGCUGGCUUCUGUUAGGAUUUAUAUCUAUCACAUUUUAGCUCAGAUGAUCUCAGAGCACCGAUGCACUUCUAUUAUCCUGAGUGAAAGAAAAUGUAUAAGUAAUGUGGUUCAAGGGAAACAUCACUGGUCUAGUGAGCAGGACUGUUUUACUUCUGUUGUCCCUGAGCUCCCUCAUCCCUGCGGUUUGGAGACCUAUGAGAUCUCCAUGAGUAGGAGCCAGCAGUUAUUCCAGUGGGACAAGAAGCCUUGCUUAUCUUUUGACUUCUCUAGGGGGGUCGCAGAGCUACAAAAUGCCUUUCACAAAAGGCCUUUCCCAGUGGUCCUAACAGUAUUUUACAGUAAAUGUCUGUAGUGUACUGUGUUACUAAUCCUGCGGCAACUCUUGAGGUUACAGAUCACUUCAAGCAGCUAACAGGAGAAGUUAAUGAAAAACAGCAAGGUAAGCACAUAAAGUGCUAGAAACUCAUAGUGAAACUAAAGGAUGUUUGGCUAUGAAUGGUGUAGAAGAGCAAAAGGCAUUGUACUGCAGUAAAACUUAAAGUUUGGGUGAAUUGCAGAGUGGGAUUUCCUUUCUUUCCACCAGAGCUCAAGCUCACACCAUCAUCAUCUCCUCCACCUCCAGACAGACUCCAGUGCUUUAUAAGGUGUUUUGAUAUGGCAUGGAAGAGGAGCUGAAUUAUUAUUAGCCGUGUUCUCACCCUAUCAUGUAAUAAAUGUUUGCUUAUGACCUGAGUGUCUAAACAAGCAAAACUUGGGCUUUGGUGCAGCUUCAGGAGUGCAACUCUAUCAAAUUUAGGUCCUUACUUGAAAGCCACUGUUUUCUUUGGCCAUAUUUUGACAUGACUAUGGCAAACAGUUCUGGUUAUUCUGUUCUCAGCCCUUUUUUUCAAGUGGGGUUCGAGUUUUUUCUUUUGUUAGGCCUUAUUGCUGACAGGAGACAAGUGUGUCCUAGGCCACCAAAUAUGUAUAUGGGUGUGAGGAAUCCUGAAUUCUGGUCACGGCCAAGCAAGUUCUGAUCAAGCAUGUAUAAGCAAUUACAACACUAUUUUUACUAAUCUGUCUCAGUGUUUUGCAACUGCCUGACCAUAUCCCAUACAGAGAAAUCAUCAUGACCUUGUGUGUAUUGGCCAACUCAUCAAGCGUUGAUUUGAUAACUUACCAAGGUAAGCAUCAAAACAGUUCAGGUGAGUACAUCUCUCUUCACUCUGCAUUGAGGAUGAGUGUGCCUUUGGUGCAGUGUCUCCUAGCACUUCCUGGUUUGUGACUGGCUGUUUUGCUCCUAACAUGCAUCUCACCUGCACUUGUACACCACAGAGACUUUACAUUAGUUUGAAUAACUGCUAUGUACAAAAAGCAAAAGAAGCUUGUUGCGUGUUGGGAUUUUUUUUUUUUUUUUUUUUUUUCCCCAUUAAAAUAUGUGACUUUUCAAUGAGGAAAAUAAACAGAAGGUCUCAAACUAAAAAUAAAAAUGGUAUUCCUAUAAAAAGACAAAAGAUUUCAAGAAAAAUAAACACUUCUUACUCCCACAUUUAUUUCAUCAAAAAUUUGAUCUUCUAUUUUUAAAGAUUUCAUCUCACUAUUUUUCACGUUUUAACCAAAAACAAAAAGGAAAGAAUUCCAUUAAGCAGUUUGUGAAGAAUUUUGCUGGGUAUCCUAAAGAUCCAAGUGCUUCAUUGUUCUCUCUUGACAACGUAUCAGCAGCAAUGAAACAAAAGGUUAAACAGACCUGCAUAGUGCUGAAGCCUAAACUUGUAUUUGGAAGGAGGACAAACGUGCCUUUGUAACCAUCACUCUUAAAAAUCAGUGGAGAUAAAAUAACAUUGGAAAUUUGUAAAGAUAUGAAAAUCAGUUUCACAGAUGUUUUUACUUAAUAGGGCUGCUCUGAAAGUAAUGCCUCCUACUUUAUUAGGUUGGCUCACAGUGACAGAGGCAGGUCUUGGUGAUAUGGCAAAAGAUGAACCUUCCCUGCCCAUAUUCCAUUGCAUUUUGUUGCCCUAUGCAGGCUCUACUGGUGCUGGCUAUGCUGAAAGAUUACAUUUUGUAGCUCUUUGUAUCUGUUCUAGUUUCCAUGGAAAUAAAUAGGAGACAUUGCUUUCAGAGUGGCACACUGAAACAGCUCUGCAUUGCUACAAGUAGAGGAGGAACUUGUGCUCUGUGUUGCAGAAAGCACUUGCUAACACCAGGAUUCAACUGUUCCUCCUGCGGAGUGCUGUGGUUUCUGGUGCUGCUUCUUGUUGGAAUGUUGUGUCAGGGUUGAAAGUAUUAUAAACAAUUUUAUCUUAAUUUAAGGUAUGGAAAAGGAUUCUAAAACAAAAGGAAAUUUGGGAGGUAUUUUGUAUUCUUUGAAGUUGAGAUGGAGAGGGAUCAAGCAACCUCCUUCCUUCCAUCCUCUCCUCUAUCAUUUCUAAUACUCAAAUCACAGCACUGUUACUGUCAUGCAGGAGCAUACUAGACACAGGAAAAUAAUCUCCUCUACGUCAAAGCCACAAAGCUCUCAUUACAAAUAAAACAAACUAGAAAAGUUCUGAGAAAAAUUCUUCUGGUAAGAAUUUUCCAGUACAGACAAAUGGGGACAUUUUGCUGCAGCACUGGGAUUUUCCUGGUUCUCCUGGCUGUCAGGCAGUCUGGGAGUUGCUUGCUGGCAGGGGUUCCAGCAGUUCAGUGGUGCAGCUCUGGAGCAGGUCAGGCAGGAAGAGCCUCCUAGGGCAGUACCCUUCCCAUCCUGGCUCCAGAGAUCUCAGCACUCACAGGAGUGAUGGUUUGGGGAAGCCUAGGAGAUGACCUGCUCCCACAUUGAAACUUUACUGCCUUUCAUAGAUAAUUAUGAAAUGCUUGGCUUUUGUUCCAAACUGGAACAGACCCAGAUUUCGAAACAUCAAAAUCCUAUGUGAAAGUCAGUCAGCUCUCUGCAAAGCUGAAACUAUGACCACAUCCUUCCCAUAUGCAGCACCUGCAUGAGAUUUUGGUGCUGAAAAUGUGGCAAUCCUGAUGAGGUUGUAUUCAGCACUCUGGGAGAUCAAUGUUUUGAAUACAGUGAUACUAUUAGAAGUACAGGCCUGCUUGAACUGAAUAGCUGCCGAAUUCCCUGAUGCUACAGAAAUUAAAAAGGAAGGUAUUAAAUAUUUGGUGGCAUUCAGUGUUAUAACUUGGAAUUUUCUGUCAUUUAAGGUUUAAGAUGUGCUUUGUGACAAAGAUUAAUAUGCAUUGAUUUCUCAUUGCCUUCAGAAAAUAAUGAUCAUGUGUGAAAUACAUAGACAGAAGGGGAUUUUUGACAUCUUCAAUAUGUGAACUUCUAACAAGAGAUUCUUAUCUCUCCUUAUAAGAAGUGACUUGUUGUAAGUAUCAUGUCAGCAAGGUAAUAAGCUAUUAGUACUACAUUCUUUUAAUAUAUUUUCAUGUCAGACUUUCAUUUAUCAUCCUCCAGUGGGCAAUGUGAAAUGAAUUGCUACUGCAUAAUUUAAUUGACAUGAAUUCAUAUUUCUCAAUGCUCAGGUCAACUUACACCAUUUGUACUGCUAUUCCCAUGGAACUGAACAAAGCUACACCUUUUAUACUUUCUUUACAAGGAGAGUGGUUAGGCCCUGGAACGGGCUGCCCAGGGAGGUUGUGGAUGCCCCGUCCUUGGACGUGUUUAAGGCCAGGUUGGACGGGGUCCUGGGCAACCUGAUCUGUGAGUCUGUGAUUCUGUGAUUCUUUUAUACACCCUUUAGCUUGCUCCUGCAGAUGGCUGCUAUUAUACAAAAAGAUCCCAAUGAAGAUUUCAUCCAGUCUGCUUGUUGAAUUCUAGGCAGAGGAAGUGAGCAGAAAUACUGUGAUACUCUUCAUUAUGAUAGUGAACACUUCAUAAGAUGGUAUGUGCGAGUACCUCUAAGCAGAAGCAGUCUGCAAUUAAGCAGUAUUGCAGUUCUAAGAAAGAAACCACGUCUUUUAUCUGUUUAUUUACUGCUUGUGGGAAGCUGAGACAGAAAAUGGUGUAGACAGAGCAGUGACAGCUUUGGUUGGUGGCCACUGUGGAGGAGACUGUGCUGAAGUUGGUUACAAUCCCUGAGGAAUUGAUUGCACUCUAAUUCAUGCAACUGCAAAGUCUUUAAAAUGAUACACAAAGUCUUGCAGGACGUCAAGGAACAUACCUUUACAGAAUAAUGGUGGUUUGGGGUAUUUUAAUCAUUCGAUCAAAUGCUAAAGAAAAGCCUUACAAUUCAAUUCAGUUUGGUAGAACAGAUCAAUGAUUCUAUAGGAAGAAACUCAACAAGAACUAAACAGUUGUAAAUAAUAGUUUCAAAUGUUGUCAUUUGAGCUUCAGUUUGCAUGUAAGUGCUUUUGUACCUGAUUUUACCUGGUCUGAUGGAAGAGUGCAACACCUUAGAUUUUUCUGUUUUGUUAUCAGGACUGUUACUUAAUACAGUAUCUUUGUACUUCUCUGAAGCCUAACAUGCAGCACCAAAUGUUAGUCUAUCUUCACAUGUGAAAGGACUUACGAGAUUCCUACCAAGGGAAUAUGAGAAAUCAAGCAAAUUUAUUUUGCUUAUUCAACAAAGCUACCAUAGAUACCACUUUUUGUAGCAUCUGCUGCUACAAAAAAGUUGGAGAUGUGCUUUGCUAUAUGUUACUGAUUUUCUGUACGUAUCUAAACAAUAGCAACAGCUUUACUCCACUCUGCUGCACCUCAGCUGGGGGUAUUCAGAAACAUUCUUAUUCCCAGAAUCAUUUCCUACCAUGGUGGCAUCAGUAACGUCUGUUCAGAGCCUGCAGUUGCUUCCUUCCUAUCUUAAAUAAAAUAUGUAGGAUACAGCUGAAAAUAGGCAUUGUUGGAAGACUGCAGGCAAAUAUACUCUCCUUUAUUGUGUUGCCUCUCUUCAAGAAGAUUUUGCAGUGCAGAUACAAUUCUCUUUCUGAACAUAACUUUUGGCUGGAAUACCAUGUUCUUUUACCAGGUUUCAAAGCAGCAAACCAGGAUGUAAGUAUGGAAGUUGCUUUCAGAUACCUGAGAAGUAAAGUACUCUCUGGUCAAUCAGUGACUCUUCUUAUUGAGCCUAAAGAGCAUGCAAGACAGUAACACUUCUGAAACGUAUGGAAAGCAUGCAUCCCAGAUGGGAAGGAAGCUGGAAUACUUAGUUGUACUCUGUAGGAAUAUGAAGUUAGAGUUUAUUAUGGAAAGAUCAGAAUCCUGAUAGAUUAGAAUCUGCAUUGUGAUAUGCUAUUUGAAACCCACUCUCACAAACCCCAUUGGAAAAACUCAAUCUUUUUGGAAGUAUACUGAACACAUGUAAAAUUUGUUUUUCUAGGGUGAUAAACAGCAGCAUUGUUACAAAGUUAUUUUCAUGUUUCCUUGUUACAUGACUAAGUUUUAAUGACUUUUCUUUUAUUCUUUGAAUGAGGCUUUCAUAUUUCUCAAGCUAUUUGAGAGCCUCCCACUCCUCCAGUCCUCAGAGCUUUGCAGCCGGCCUUACUCAGAGGACAUUCCAGUCUUGUCACUGCACAGCUGCACUUGGCAGCAAGCCCCCCAGGCAAGGCCUUUGCCAAAGCGGCACUCAGACCCCCCAAACACCCUCCUGAAAGAAUGGCCAAUAAUAUGACAUUUGUAUAACUGCUAAAUAUCUUUUUGCCUUAGAAUGAGUUUGUUUACUUCACUUAUAAAAUGUGUUAUAUCUGUGACGUAACUGGGUUUACGCUCAAAGCGUACUGUGCAAAGUAACACAUUGUCUUAUAUUUCACAGGCUGAUGGGUAGCAUAAGCUUAAAACACUGAGCUGCUGAUAAGUGACAUCCACUACAUUCUUUUUGUUGUAUGCCUGCUGUUUGGUCAGGGAGUUGCCUCCUUGGAACUCUUUACUUUCUAAGUUUUUAAGUGCUUGUCUUAAAGAUGAGCCAUGAAAAGAAACAGAAGGAUAAAAAGUAACAUACUUGAAAGAUAUUUUUUUCCUUUUCCUUACAUACUGAAAUUAACCUUGGUCAUUUCAUGUGAUUUCAUUUGAUUCCAGAUAGAGGAAAGCAGAAAGCUAUGUAUUUCUUUAGGCCUAUUCUAAACUUCAAAAUUCUCCAUUUUAUGUGGAUACUAGGAAGAAUUUGAUGCAGUUUGUAUGAAAUCAUAAUGAAUAAAUAAAUACGUAAGUAAAUAAGAAGUUAUGCUUGACUAAGCUAUGUUAGGCACAUCUCCUCUUCCUAAUUUUUCUCAUCCUCUAGGUUGGUAGUAUUUUGAACCAUAGUGCUAGGAAUUCUCCCUCCACAAAGGAAAAAUGCAAGUUAGAAGUAGUGGCGAUUAAACGUUAUGAAAAUACUUAAGGACAUUUCAACAGUGAGAUUUCAAAAUGUAUGUCAGAUUUUGCCUUUUUUUUUUUUUAAUACAAGUUAACUUUAUAUUUUAAAAUAAUCAUUUUGUUUUAAACUAAAUGCAGUGCUGGCUAAACUUGUCCAAAAAAACUCAGAAAUCCUUCCUGCACAUAGUAAGAACAGCACAUGGCAAUAGCAGGGUAAACUUGGCUCCUACCAGUAUUGUGUUGAGGGGGCAUAUCUAGGUCCAACUGAGCAAAGUCUCUCCAAGUACUUUCUAUGAGGAUUUGCUUAAAUUCCACAUAAAACUUUGCUGAGAGUAAAUCUGUCUAUGCCCAUUUGCACCUCAUUUUGGCUGUUUAUCUCUCCUGUAUGGAUUUUCUCCUUAUUACAUAUUGUGGAAUAGAAAUAAAUUUCUUCAAGGCAAAACUCAAAUUAAUUUUUUCAGAAAUAGAGCAAUUUUUAUUGUUUCCUUUAUUGUUUUAUAUUGUGAGUGUUUAUUUUAAAAAAUCUAAGUGGGAAUUCCAAACACUUGAACUACAAGCAAUUGUGGUAUGUUUUUUCAGUCACUUUUUCAGUAGUGCUCUUCUUCAGUUCUAAGCUUGAACCCAAGUGAAAGAACUUACAGUUGUAGGCAUAGUGGAAAUACUAAGUUGCAGCUUCAAAGAGUGAAUGAGCAGGUGGUGGGAAGGCAGGGCUAACCCAGGGCAGCUCAGCUGCAGGCGAUGCACCUGACUAACUGGAAGGGCUGGAGCCAGGAUUCUCCUCAUUAAAGACCUCAUUUAAGGGUUGGAGAUCCCUGUAUGCCUGAGAUCUUCUGAAGGUAAGUAGAUUCUUUUGUUUCUCUGUCUAUAGCUGUUGUAUUUGAGCAAGUUCUUGCUUGCUAUUGCCUAGGACUUUGCUAUUCUGCUGUUAUUGCUGUGCUUUCCAUUGUGUUAUGGUAGAUUUUUUUUUAUUGCUGUAGGCAAGUAGAUGAAAAAAAAUGUGCUAAUACCUGGGAAAACAAUCAGGCUUCUCAAGAAGUAAGCAGGCAUUUUGCAUCUGUUGCUUUAACCUAAAAAACUGAUUAUUUAU